AUGCGGUACUUGCGCUCGGUGCACCCAGCUGCAACCCGGACUUGCUCCACUUCACUUCAUUCCCCCAGUACCUCUGAACAGCAUGACAGGGCCUUGGGUUUGCUGCUCUUCCUGACCUGUUGUGCAGCUUUCACAGGGUCAAGGGAACACCUGAAGCAGGAGUCCUCCCGUAAGGAUCCUCCAAAAUGCAGGGCAAAGAGGAGCUCACAGGGAGAGGCUACAGUACCUCUGUGUGAUGCAGCCAUGGUACAGCCCUGCUCUCAGGACGACAUCAGGAGAACCUGGUCACCCCCUUCAGCCGCUGCCUCUGCCAAGCUCACUCCCUCAGACGAUGGGAGGAUGACAGAAAUGCCUGCUUUUUGUUGAAAUGUGUAUGCCUAGGCACAAACAACUGAAACACAAAAGCACAGCAGAAAGAAAGUAGGAAACAAAAAAUAUUCUACUGAUGCAACUGGAAAAGUUCAGAUUCGGUUGCACAUACAAACAACUAAGGCACAAAGGAACAGAAAAUCAGGUCCCAGACCAUGUGCUUUCCAGCAGAAAAUCCAGCUUUUUUCCAGAUAUUAACCGAACCUUUUAACAGUGAGCUUGAAAUUAAGAGUGACAAACUGGAGAAGAGCAAGAGCUUUGCAAUCCAUAGGAGGCCUGAUGCAGUGCUCUGUCAGUUCAGGUUUCUGCUGCUCUAACACUGUAACAUUGCCGGACAAAAGUUGUUUCAUGUUCAUAAUUAGGGACCUUUACACCACUUUUGUCACGGUAUAAUGUAAAUGAAGCUCUUGCAGCCCCCCGCACUUGGUUACAACAUUAGUUCAUACCGUCAUGUGUCUCAUGGGAGAUAUACUAGAUUACAGUCACCUGAGGGAGAACAGGACUGGGCCUUCUCCAGAGUCAGUAUAUGACCAUGCUGUGCCCACAAGGAUGCGUUUAUGACUGAGAUUAGCUUCAUUAAAAGAAAAACUCACAGAACGAAAAAUAUGAGGCACCUGAUUUUGAAAUAAAUUACCUUCAUGAAAUUACGGUCUUUUCUUC
rnacentral:lncRNA from 1 species